GUAUAUUUUAUAACUUUUUAACAUUCUAAAACAUGCAAAAGAGGUUGUGAAAGAUGACAUAGACCCUGCAUCCCAACUCGAAAUGAAUCCCAGGGUCUACAAUAUGUGCACAGUUUGGAGAGAUAAAAAGAUGACAAGCGUGCACGUGCCGAGAAGGCCAGCAACAGCUGUAUUUCUAUAAUGAUCCUUCCGCAGGUUCACCUACGGAAA
rnacentral:misc_RNA from 1 species